rnacentral:rRNA from 1 species
AUUGAACGCUAGCGGGAUGCUUUACACAUGCAAGUCGAACGAGUGGCGGACGGGUGAGUAAUAUAUCGGAAGUGCCCAGUAGCGGGGGAUAACUACUGGAAACGGUAGCUAAUACCGCAUACUAUCGGAUAACCCAUAUGGGAUUAGCUAGUAGGUGAGGUAAUGGCUCACCUAGGCGACGAUCCCUAGCUGGUCUGAGAGGAUGAUCGACAACACGGGGACGGUGACACGGCCCAGAGUCCUACGGAGGCGGCGGUGGGGAAUAUUGCACAAUGGGCGCAAGCCUGAUGCAGCCAUGCCGCGUGGAUGAAGAAGGCCCUAGGGUUGUAAAGUACUUUCAGUCGGGAGGCGUUACCGACAGAAGAAGCACCGGCUAACUCCGUGCCAGCAGCCGCGGUAAUUC